AGGGCGCGUAGGCGGAUUAUCAAGUCUCUUGUGAAAUCUAAUGGCUUAACCAUUAAACUGCUUGGGAAACUGAUAGUCUAGAGUGAGGGAGAGGCAGAUGGAAUUGGUGGUGUAGGGGUAAAAUCCGUAGAUAUCACCAAGAAUACCCAUUGCGAAGGCGAUCUGCUGGAACUCAACUGACGCUAAGGCGCGAAAGCGUGGGGAGCAAACAGGAUUAGAUACCCUGGUAGUCCACGCCCUAAACGAUGUACACUAGUUGUUGGGAUGCUAGUCAUCUCAGUAAUGCAGCUAACGCAUUAAGUGUACCGCCUGGGGAGUACGGUCGCAAGAUUAAAACUCAAAGGAAUAGACGGGGACCCGCACAAGCGGUGGAGCAUGUGGUUUAAUUCGAAGAUACGCGAAGAACCUUACCUGGGCUUGAUAUCCUAAGAACCUUUUAGAGAUAAGAGGGUGCUAGCUUGCUAGAACUUAGAGACAGGUGCUGCACGGCUGUCGUCAGCUCGUGUCGUGAGAUGUUGGGUUAAGUCCCGCAACGAGCGCAACCCACGUAUUUAGUUGCUAACGGUUCGGCCGAGCACUCUAAAUAGACUGCCUUCGUAAGGAGGAGGAAGGUGUGGACGACGUCAAGUCAUCAUGGCCCUUAUGCCCAGGGCGACACACGUGCUACAAUGGCAUAUACAAUGAGACGCAAUACCGCGAGGUGGAGCAAAUCUAUAAAAUAUGUCCCAGUUCGGAUUGUUCUCUGCAACUCGAGAGCAUGAAGCCGGAAUCGCUAGUAAUCGUAGAUCAGCCAUGCUACGGUGAAUACGUUCCCGGGUCUU
rnacentral:rRNA from 1 species